rnacentral:misc_RNA from 1 species
AGCAGCCGCGGUAAUUCCAGCUCCAAUAGCGUAUAUUAAAGUUGUUGCAGUUAAAGAGCUCGUAGUUGAAUUUCGGGAUUGACACAUCGGUCGUGCCUUAAGGGGUAUGAACUGGUGUAGUCAAUUUCUCACCUUCUGGAGAACCGCGAUGCCCUUAAUUGGGUGUCGCGGGGAACCAGGACCUUUACUUUGAAAAAUUAGAGUGUUUAAAGCAGGCAUUUUGCUUGAAUACAUUAGCAUGGAAUAAUAAAAUAGGACGGCAUGAUUCUAUUUUGUUGGUUUCUAGGAUCACCGUAAUGAUUAAUAGGGAUAGUUGGGGGCAUUAGUAUUCAAUUGUCAGAGGUGAAAUUCUUGGAUUUAUUGAAGACUAACUACUGCGAAAGCAUUUGCCAAGGAUGUUUUCAUUAAUCAAGAACGAAAGUUAGGGAUCGAGGACGAUCAGAUACCGUCGUAGUCUUAACCAUAAACUAUGCCGACUAGGAAUCAGACGAUGUUAAUUUUUAAUGUACUUCGUUUGGCA